rnacentral:rRNA from 1 species
GACGGAGGAUGCAAGUGUUAUCCGGAAUCACUGGGCGUAAAGCGUCUGUAGGUGGUUUAACAAGUCUACUGUUAAAGCUUGAAGCUUAACUUCAAAAAUGCCGUAGAAACUUUUAAACUUGAGUAUGGUAGGGGUAGAGGGAAUUUCCAGUGGAGCGGUGAAAUGCGUAGAUCUUGGAAAGACCACCAAUGGCGAAGGCACUCUACUGGGCCAUUACUGACACUAAGAGACGAAAGCUAGGGGAGCAAAUGGG